GUAAAUAAUUAAGGGCGUAUGGUGGAUGCCUAGGCUCUCAGAGGCGAUGAAGGACGUGAUAAGCUGCGAAAAGCUCCGUUUAGGUGCAAAUAACCUUUGAUGCGGAGAUCUCCGAAUGGGAUAACCCAAUAUGUUGAAGACAUAUUAUACCGUAAGGUAGGCAAACGCAGGGAACUGAAACAUCUAAGUACCUGCAGGAGAAGAAAACAAACGUGAUUCCCCCAGUAGCGGCGAGCGACCGGGGAUAAGCCCAAACCGUUAUUGUUUCGGCAGUAGCGGGGUAGUAGGACUGCGACAUUGAUGAAAUAAAUGAAAUGGAACACUUUGGAAAAUGUGAUCACAGAGGGUGAUAAUCCCGUACAUGCAAGUUUAUGAAUCAUAGCAGACUCCUGAGUAAGUCGGGACACGUGUAAUCCUGACCGAAUCCGCCGGGACCAUCCGGCAAGGCUAAAUACUCCUGAGAGACCGAUAGUGAACCAGUACCGUGAGGGAAAGGUGAAAAGCACUUCGAACAGAAGAGUGAAAUAGUCCCUGAACCCAUACGCCUACAAGCAGUCGGAGCCGCUUCGUGCGGUGACGGCGUGCCUUUUGCAUAAUGAGCCUACGAGUUACUCAUCACCAGCGAGGUUAAGUACUUCAGGUACGUAAGCCGAAGCGAAAGCGAGUCUGAAUAGGGCGUCAAGUUGGUGGUGGUAGACGCGAAACCUUAGUGAUCUACCCAUGGGCAGGGUGAAGGUUUGGUAACACAAACUGGAGGCCCGAACCGGUAAACGUUGAAAAGUUUUCGGAUGACCUGUGGGUAGGGGUGAAAGGCCAAUCAAACUGGGAAAUAGCUCGUACUCUCCGAAAUGCAUUUAGGUGCAGCCUCUGUUGUUUUGUUCUAGAGGUAGAGCUACUGAUUGGAUGCGAGGGCUUCACCGCCUAUCAAAUCCGGCCAAACUCCGAAUGCUAGAACAUGAAGACAGGGAGUGAGCCAGCGGGUGCUAAGGUCCGUUGACGAAAGAGGGAGAACUCAGACCAUCAGCUAAGGUCCCCAAUUGUAUGCUAAGUUGGAAUUAAAACGGGGUGGGACUGCUUAGACAGCUAGGAUGUUGGCUUGGAAGCAGCCAUUCAUUUAAAGAGUGCGUAACAGCUCACUAGUCGAGCGGUCCUGCAUGGAUAAUACGCGGGCAUAAGCAUAUAACCGAAGCUAUGGGAUUGUAGAUGAUACAAUCGGUAGGAGAGCAUUCCAUUCAGCAUAGAAGCAGUACCGUGAGGUAUUGUGGAGCGGAUGGAAAAGCAAAUGUAGGCAUAAGUAACGAUAAUGCGGGUGAGAACCCCGCACGCCGAAAGAUCAAGGAUUCCCCGGCAAUGUCAAUCAUCCGGGGGUAAGUCGGAUCCUAAGGGUAAGCCGAGUGGCGAUCCCGAUGGCAAACAGGUUAAUAUUCCUGUACUGAUCAUAACUGCGAUGCAGCGACGCAGAGGUGACACUGCUGCGUACUGACGGAAUAGUACGUUGAAACCCGUAUUCUUUGAUACCGGUAGUGAAGCACGCCGGUAGAGAUGAAAGGUGAUAGUACCGCAAUGCUUCGGUUGCGCGGAUAACGCAGGUAAGCUGACUGCCAAGAAAACCUGCUAAGCUUCAGGUAAUGAUCAUCCGUACUGUAAACGGACACACGUGAUCAGGUAGAAAAUACUAAGGCGCUCGAGAGAUUCAUGGUUAAGGAACUAGGCAAAAUGGUCCUGUAACUUCGGGAUAAAGGACGCUCUUGUGAAAGAGCCGCAGAUAAUAGGCCCAGGCGACUGUUUACCAAAAACACAUGGCUAUGCUAAUUCGCAAGAAGAUGUAUAUGGCCUGACACCUGCCCGGUGCCGGAAGGUUAAGAGGAGAGCUCAGAGGCAACUCGAAGGUUUGAAUUGAAGCCCCGGUAAACGGCGGCCGUAACUAUAACGGUCCUAAGGUAGCGAAAUUCCUUGUCGGGUAAGUUC
rnacentral:rRNA from 1 species